CUGCAGCAGGAGAAGGUCACACUCGUGUGUCUGGCCAACAAGGGCUUCCCCUCAGACUGGAAGCUGAGCUGGAAGGUGGCUGGUAGCAGCUGGAGCUCGGGGGUGAGCCAGAGCUCCGGGCUUCUGCAGAAGGACGGCCUCUACAGCUGGAGCAGCACCCUGACCCUCCAGAAGGAGGAGUGGCUGAAGAAGACAGUGACCUGUGAGGCCACCAAGGACUCCCAGUCUCCUGUCACACAGACACUGAGUAGAGAGCAGUGUGCUGAGGCGUGAAACUCCCACAUGUGUACUGAAGUGUUCUCCUCUCACUGAUUAAUGUGCUGCGUUUUAGAUAGUCUGUGUUUAUUACUCAA